rnacentral:lncRNA from 1 species
CCGCGAGAGGAGCCCGCGGGUCGUCUACCACGGCCACAGCGGAAUAGUUCAAAGCCCACAGCAGAUUUCCGGACGUGCAGAAACAGACAGGAGGGAGGGCCGGUGGUCGCUGGCUCUCCCGAGCAGGAAAGUGGCGGAGCAGUACAGGACCUGUUUCACUGCAGGGGGAUCCAAAAACAAGCCCGUGGAGCAGCAGCCAGACCAACAGCAGCCGCAGGACAUUGUUUCUCUCCCUCUGUGCCCCCGUCCCCACGCAACCCCAGAUCCAUUUACACUUUACAGAGCAUCGUGCAACAAGUCACCAGGGUGGUCCAUUCGUGCUGCGGAUUUGCCUGCCGUCCUUGGACCCCAGUCGCCUGCUCCACUGUCGCUGCAGGGAAGAGCAGCACAUGUCAGGCAGAGAAAAGAGAAGAGGAAGUACUUAAUGUGGCCACUCUGAUACAGUGUACACAAAUCCCUGAAGCUGGGAAGUGGACUAAAGAGCUGAUGUUAAUAGGAAGCUCUCAACUUUCAACUAUACAGGAAGUCUGUGACACAUAAUCCACAGAAGAUCCCUGGAUGACCUGUUUUCUUGAGAAUGUUCCAUACCUGUACAUGGGAGAGAAACACGAUGGUAUUAAAGGUGGCCAUGUGUGAGUACAGUUUCUAUAUACCUUAUACUUAGUUUGGUGAGAAGUGCUGGCAGAGGUGGGGUUGUGUGUGUGUGCGCGCGAGAGAGAGGAGAGAGAGAGAGAGAGAGGUUUGGUUGCCAUGGAAACAGUGAUUUCACAGAGUUCUGGAGAUCUCUAGAGUUAGGUAUGAUAAAGGCAUGAAAAGUUCAUGCAAGCCACUUGUGUUCUAACUUCAAACAUCUCCGUUAAACUUGUAUGCCUUUUUGUCUUCAUUUCUUGUGGUGUCUGUGACCUGUAUGAUGUGUGUGUGUGUGUGUGUGUGUGUUGCACCUUUUAUUUUGGGCUGCUUAUAGAAAAAUGCUGAUUCAUAGUGGCAUUGUCUUUUGUUUUCCUAGAGAAAUUCUGAGUCUGAGUCUGUUGCUGAGUUCAUUUUUUGUAACAACUGUGGUUUUAAUCACUCCAGAUAAAUUUUUAUUUUUUUCCUCUUACAGAAUGCUUUGCUUUUGUUUCAUUCUAAUACAUGACAGACUAGUCCUCAACUAUCAGAAAAAAAUGCCAGUAGUUUCAAAGGGCUCUUGAGCGUGAUUGUUUUCCUGUUUCUGAAUAGAUUGUAGUUUCAAAGUUAAGUUUUAGUUUCACGCAGUUGGCCUUAGAAAGUUCUAAGACAUCACUGGUAACAUCCAGAAAAUUUUGUCAUUGCUCAGUCUAAAUAUCACACCUCUGAGGUAGAUAUCAUUAUGGAAGCUAAAUUUAGGAGAGGAGGAAGUUUUUCAGAUCUGCUAAAUAAGUUUAGUGACAAUACAUUGAGAUGGUACUUUCAUUUGAAUAUUUCUCAUGUAUUGAGCAGCGGGUGGCUUGGCUUCCUGGCUGUAAUUCCAUGCCAUAGCUUGGUGCUUAUUAUUUUAGAGGUUGAGUUCAUCAUGGAUUCUCCCAGCCUGCAGAGUAGCGCAUCCUGAUUGUUCACACUCAGACUGUAAUUCCACCCAAGUUUGUAGUGUCAUUGUAGAAACUGGAUGGAAUUACAGCCCCUCAUAUGUUUUGAAAAACUGCAUUAUUUAUUGAAAUACUUUAUGAAGCGAAAUGAUUUUCUGAAUAUGCUGCAAGUUCAUGGGACUUAGAAAUAUCUUGGUCACAUAGAAGGUUCUCAGUAAAUAUUUCUCGUUUAUUUGAUUUGAUUGACUGUACUUACUGUAUAUCUUUAAAUAAACUGUUUUAAAAAUAUGUGGAGAGUGAGGAUUUAGUUCAGUGGCACCGUGCCUGCUUCACAAGGUCCUGAGUUUAAUCCUCAGUAACCCCCCCGCCCCCAAAUGUGGAGAGGUUGUACUUGAGCAUUUGUACAGCUUGCCUUGAAAUACUCUUCAGGCUUCUUUCUUGUUAUUGAUGGAAAAGUUGGCUCCCUGUAUGAAUAUAUUAUUUCAUCUUUUCUGUUUCUAGCCUAGAUGGCCACAAACCAAAUCUUUAUUUUGGGAAAAUCUGCAUGUUCAGAAGAAUUCCUUCUAUACAGAUAUCUCUUUUCACCAUAAUUCUCAUGAUGUCUGUAUGUAGCAUCCCUUUGAGGUGGACCCCUAAGGAGUAAAUAAUUAUACCAGCAGGAACUUUGGUUGUCUGUUGUAACAUUGGAUGGGCGUCUUUUUUCAUGAAUCGUAAUUAGGAGAACUACUGCUAAGAUAAUUCAUUAAUUCAUGGUGCAUUGCUAGAUUUGAAAUAUCCUUAGUUUUUUAAACUUCUGUAGAUGCUACUUCAGAAAGAAAAAUUUCUCCAGUGGAGUUGGGAGCUUAGAGGAACAUGGGAUAUUUCAGAGUCUCAUAUGGUUUCUAAAUUUCAGACUCUGUGUUACAUGUUUUAGGAUGAUUAUAUAUAAUCUGUGAAACAACCUGUUACUGAAAACAUUAUUGUCUGUGCCAUCACGCCCAGCAAGAUACAGUGUCAAGAAGCUAAAAGUCAAUAUAAAUUGAAUAUUUUUGAAUUUGCAUUUUUGUGAAUUAUGUGUAUAUAUGGAGGAUCCUUCCAAAAUAUGAAAUUUCAAUUGAGGAAAUUCUGAGUUAAGUUGUGCUUUUAAUUAUCAAAAAUAUUUUUAAGUGUAAAAUCACUAACCAUAUAUUACUUAGAAUUUCUGUCUCUGGAAAUAUUCCAGUUUUAAAAGUUUUGUAUGUACAACAGAGAUAGAAAAUAAAUAUACUGGUCUAGCUAAAGUCAGUGAUUCCUGCUUUCAAAAAAAUCUGUUGAAAAGUAAAAUAGCUUUACUUUGUGAAGUUAUGUUUUUGUUUAAGAGCUUGAAGAAUAUUUGUCUUUUACAGUUUAAAGACUGAUUAAUAAUUGGUUCCUCUUUUCUGAUUCGAAUCAGUGUAGAUCUUAACUCCUUUGAUAUUACCUGUAAACAUUUAAUGUGAGCUAUAUAAAUUAGAGUUAAUGGAGUACAACGCCCUGAUAUGCCUUGUCCAUAAAAAGAAAAAAAGAAGUAAAUGGUGUUCUCUUCUUCAGGUUCUAACAGGAGUGCUGCUCGGUUUUAUGUAAGAAAUAGACUUUGAGGGCCGGGGAUUUAGCUCAGUGGUUCGGCCGCCUGCCUCGCAAGCGGAAGGACCCGAGUUUGAUCCCCGGUACAAAAAAAGAGAAAGAAAUAGACUUUAAAAGCUUUUUUUUUUUGGUGGUGGUGUGGGUGUAGCCUCAAUAUUGUGUAUUCCUUUCAAAAUGUGCAAGAUGCUUCAUGGUCUGUGGGUGGGGGAACCACCUAAGGGCCCCCAUUAGUUACUCAUCCUUUUGUUCCUCUCCAGACAGGGAAAACCCAGAGUCCCACACUCCACUCCUUCUGAACCAUGGGGGUGGGGUGGGGGUGGGGAUGCCAGUGUCAUUGGGCCAAAGCCUUCAUGUUAGAUGUUUCGCAAGAUGUGUUUUAUUACUUUACUAUCAUUAUGCAUUACAAACCAAUAUGUAACUGGCACCAAUGAUCGAAUGGAAAAUUAUUGGUGGGAAAAAUGUACAGUGUGCUUACAUGCUUGUCUUUUAUAACAGUGAAGGCAGUUAAAUUCUCUUCCAUAGAUGAAGUAAUAGGUAAUUAGUCCUGGAGCCAGAAGUGAAAGAGAGAGAGAGAGAGUGUGUGUGUGUGUGUGUGUAUGUGUGUGUGUGUGUGUGUGUGUUGGUUGGUUGUAGAAAUUAACAAAUACUUACCUGUUGACCAUUUCUUUGGUUUUUCUAUGGAAAAUGGCAUUGAUUUGUGUUUUUCGUUUUUGUCUCAUUAUGUCUGUAUCAUUUUUAGAAUAUGAAGGGGAAUUGAUGAAGAAUUUUUAC